GAUAUGUGCAUCAUUCGUGUUAGUUGGUGAAAGUGUGAUUGUUUGUCAAGCAUAUUAAAACAAGCUUUGUAUUUUGGUCAUAGAGUGAAUAAAUACUAGUGCACACUUGCUAGUUUUCCUUUGAUUUCAAACCGAGAGGAGAGAACAAUUGUGAGGGGUGUGAACACUUGUGAAACUUGAAGAUUAGUUAAACUUAGUUGGGCAAUUGCUUUGUUUAAUAAAUGUUGCAUCAUUUUACUCACUGAAAUAGAAAUCUAUUGAUAGGCGUAAGUCUUGUGAGUUAGGGUAUGACUAUUGACCAUGUCUGAGAACUAGUAAGGGAAUGGGAAAUGCGUUGCUUUUAAUGGUUGGAUGGUAAUGAACGAGUUUGCUUGAGGGCAAGCAAAUGAUAAGUGUGGGGAUGUGAUGGGUUGGCCUUGAUAGGUUUAAGGUGUAUUUUGGAAGCUUUACGAGCUUUGGAAUGAAGGUAACAAGGAAAUGAUGCAUUUAGGAGCUUACCGGAGCUUAACCAAGUGCAUUUCGGUAACUACUUGAGAAAUGGGAAGCACAUGGAAGCAUAUGGAAGUAAUCGAGAGUGGUUUUGAGAAGAAUGGUGAAAACAUGGGAUGAGAACGCAAGUUACUUCAUUCGGGACGCAAUAGAGGGCGCAUAAAAGUGUGGAUUUCAGAGCAGGGACACAUAAUGUGUCCCUGAGGACACAUAAUGCGUCCCUCAUCAGUUACAAAUCGUAAAAAUCCCCCUUUUGACUAGGAAAAGUUAUCAUUCAAGGUAGUCUUGACACAUACGAAUUGGGGGGUUUUGCUAGGCGAUUUUGGGAGCUUUUUGAGAGAUUCUUGAAGAUUCAAUCCAUCCCUUAUCACAUUCCAUCACGUCUUGAAGAUCAAUCAUAAACCAUGAGUGGCUAAUUUCCCCAAGAUCAUCCCCGGGUGAAAGAUUGUGAGUUUCUAGGGUUUGUUUUUUCAUGUUUUGGUUUGAUAUAAACAUUUUGUAAUCUUUUGAUUGAAAUUGUGCGGAUUGAUUGUUAGUAUUGUUUUGAACUCGAAAUUGUUAAGAUUUUCUUGCAUCAUUGACAUUGAGAGAUGAUUA
rnacentral:lncRNA from 1 species